UACGUAGGGCGCGAGCGUUGUCCGGAAUUAUUGGGCGUAAAGAGCUCGUAGGCGGCCUGUUGCGUCCGCUGUGAAAUCCCAGGGCUCAACCCUGGGCGUGCAGUGGAUACGGGCAGGCUGGAGGCAGGCAGGGGAGAACGGAAUUCCCGGUGUAGCGGUGAAAUGCGCAGAUAUCGGGAGGAACACCGGUGGCGAAGGCGACUGCCUGGACGGCACCUGACGCUGAGGCGCGAAAGCUAGGGGAGCAAACGGGG
rnacentral:rRNA from 1 species